rnacentral:pre_miRNA from 1 species
GAUUUCAUCUGAAAAUGUCAUCAGUAACAAAGUUGUGUAACUCGUCAAGAUCUAUAACUUCUAUUUUGAUCGUUUCUCCAUUCGACAAAGUGAUUUGUAAGAUUGUUCACAAAAACUAUAUAAGAGAUAUAGUUUUUGUGAACAAUCUUACAAAUCACUUUGUCGGAUGAAGAAAUAACUAAAAUAUAAGUUAUAGAUCUUGAUGAGUUAUACCAUUUUGUUAUUGAUGACUUUUUCAGUUGAAAUC